rnacentral:lncRNA from 1 species
UAAAUGUUACAUGGGAUUGACAAAAAUUUAAUGACCGGCCCGAUCAAAACGUCCUCCUGUUCCACAUCCAGGUGUGUUAGUUUGUCUCCGAGGUCUCCCACGAUUUUCCUGAGGUGUUUGGGGUCUUUGUGUGUUUACCUGAUCGAAUGAUGGCUGGUGUGAAGGUCUGGCGGAAGUUCCAGCGGUAUUUGACAGAUGUGUCAUCAUUUG